UAACACGUAGGGGGCGAGCGUUGUCCGGAUUUAUUGGGCGUAAAGAGCUCGUAGGCGGCUCGGUAAGUCAGGUGUGAAAACUCUAGGCUCAACCUAGAGACGCCACCUGAUACUGCUGUGGCUAGAGUCCGGUAGGGGAGCAUGGAAUUCCUGGUGUAGCGGUGAAAUGCGCAGAUAUCAGGAGGAACACCAGUGGCGAAGGCGGUGCUCUGGGCCGGAACUGACGCUGAGGAGCGAAAGCGUGGGGAGCAAACAGG
rnacentral:rRNA from 1 species